AAAAAAAAACCUGAUAUUUUAAAAAAGAUGUCUACAGUUUUUAAUACUGUGAUAUUGACUAAUACAAUUUUCUCUUCUCCAAAGUAUACUUACCCACUUUGCAUUCAUAGGCUUUUAAUUAUUCUAAAUUAAAAUUAAUGUGUACAAAGGGAAAUAGAGUAUUUACUUUUGAAAAAAAAACAUACAUUUUUCUUUAUUUGUACUGGGGAACUUAAUGUAUUUAUCAUUAUUAUUUCAUUUUCUGCAGAGCAUGUACCACUUUUCCUCUCACAUUAAUAUUUAAAUUUUUCUUAAAGGGAUCAUUACUCAUACAUACCUAGUAAUGCGAUUUAGUUAAGACUUGUUAUAUUUUCAACUCCAGGCAUGGCAUGGCUAUCACUGUUGGCCACAGCCAUGCUACACCAUUAACUAUUUUGAUAA
rnacentral:lncRNA from 1 species